AGAAUCAACGCUGGCGGCGUGCCUAACACAUGCAAGUCGAACGAGAAAGUGGAGCAAUCCAUGAGUAAAGUGGCGCACGGGUGAGUAACACGUGACUAACCUACCCUUGAGUGGGGAAUAACUUCGGGAAACCGAGGCUAAUACCGCAUAACACCUACGGGUCAAAGGAGCAAUUCGCUUAAGGAGGGGGUCGCGGCAGAUUAGUUAGUUGGCGGGGUAAUGGGCCCACCAAGACGGUGAUCUGUA
rnacentral:rRNA from 1 species